UACAGAGGUCUCAAGCGUUGUUCGGAUUCAUUGGGCGUAAAGGGUGCGUAGGCGGCGCGGUAAGUCGGGUGUGAAAUCUCGGAGCUUAACUCCGAAACUGCAUUCGAUACUGCCGUGCUUGAGGACUGGAGAGGAGACUGGAAUUUACGGUGUAGCGGUGAAAUGCGUUGAGAUCGGAAGGAACGCCCGUGGCGAAAGCGAGGUCCUGGACGUUUUCUGACGCUGAGACGGCGAAAGCCAGGGGAGCGAACGGG
rnacentral:rRNA from 1 species